UACGGAGGGUGCAAGCGUUAUCCGGAUUCACUGGGUUUAAAGGGUGCGUAGGCGGACAGGUAAGUCAGUGGUGAAAUCUCUGGGCUUAACCCAGAAACUGCCGUUGAUACUAUUUGUCUUGAAUAUCCUGGAGGUAGGCGGAAUAUGUCAUGUAGCGGUGAAAUGCUUAGAUAUGAUAUAGAACACCAAUUGCGAAGGCAGGUUACUGAGCCACAACUGACGCUGAGGCACGAAAGCGUGGGGAUCAAACAGG
rnacentral:rRNA from 1 species